UUAUAAAAAUACUAUUAUAAAAUAUAUAAAAUCCUAUUUAUCAUUCAUAUUUCACGGUUUUUACCAAAUUGAUGAAACGUUUCGUCAAAAUUCAACGAUGUAAAAGUAUUUCGCCUUUUAAUUUUUGUACAUGUAAAAAAUAAAAUAUUUCGCUGAAUUUGGACGAAAUAUUCCAAUGAGAAAAUUUGUCUAUAUCGAAAAUUGGAAAGUUUAAUAGAGCGAUUUGUACGAGGAGACACAUUAAUGAAUCAUGCUGAUAGCCGCCUUAGUUUACUUCGGAUUCCUUGGUCGCCAUCAUUGUCUUUGUUAUUUGGGAAUCGAGUUUCCCGUGGUAAAUAAGAGUCAGCACUGCGGUUUGCAGCAUGACCUACGACAAGCUAGGAAAGUUGAAAUCGUUAUGUGAACCAUCUAACAGUGUCAAGAUUAAAUUAUGAAUGGUCGUGAUCUUCAUGACGACGAUGAUGAUUUGUCAAUGAGGCUCUCCUUUGCCAUUAAAGUUUUCGCAACGUGUCUCUAUUUAUAUCUGUUCACGGCCGAGCGAGGGAAUUCCAGACUGUAUACAAUAAUACCAAUAAAUUUAUUUCUGUGUCUUGUAACUACCAAUAUUUUAAACAUAAAUAAAUCGUACAUUAAUUUGUUCAUUCAAUAAUUCAUUCAUUCAAAAUGUCAGUGAUUUUCACAACUGGGAAUAAAAUAUAUUAUAUUCUAUUACCACAUUAAGUAAACAGAUAACAAUGAUAUUUAUUAGCGAAUAUAUUUAGCAAAGUUCAGUAUGUUUUACAAAUUCAAUUUGUCUCAGAUAAUGGUAAAUGUAUAGUUUUAUACAAUAUAAUAAUAUAUAUACAGCAACACAGUUACAGUUAUAGUUUAAUUUUGAAGUUUGUUUCUAGUAUUCUGAAAUACAUAAUGGAUAGGAUACCUGUCAGUUCACGAAGCAGGACAAACAUAAUUAAUUAACGUUUGUUAAUUUACCAACCACUGAAUACAAUUUAACGUAAUCCUGUAAUAAAAUCGAACAAUAAAUAAACGGU
rnacentral:lncRNA from 1 species